ACUCUUUAGCGCAGUAGGCAGCGCAUCAGACUCUUAAGCUGAAGGUCCGGGGUUUGAGUCUCAGAAAGAGGG
rnacentral:tRNA from 1 species